rnacentral:tRNA from 1 species
UCCAGCGAAGCCGAAUGGUCAGGCAGCCGGCUGUUAACCGGCCCUUCGAAGGUUCGAUUCCUUCCGCUGGAG